UUACGGCCAUACUACACUGAAACACCGGUUAUUGUACAUUCACGGAAGCUAAGCAAUGUCGAGCCUGGUCACUAUUUAGAUGAGUGACCGUUUGGGAAUACCAGGUGCUGUAAG